rnacentral:rRNA from 1 species
GGGGAACCAGGACUUUUACUGUGAAAAAAUUAGAGUGUUCAAAGCAGGCCUUUGCUCGGAUACAUUAGCAUGGAAUAAUAGAAUAGGACGUGCGGUUCUAUUUUGUUGGUUUCUAGGACCGCCGUAAUGAUUAAUAGGGAUAGUCGGGGGCGUCAGUAUUCAGCUGUCAGAGGUGAAAUUCUUGGAUUUGCUGAAGACUAACUACUGCGAAAGCAUUCGCCAAGGAUGUUUUCAUUGAUCAGGGAACGAAAGUUAGGGGAUCGAAGACGAUCAGAUACCGUCGUAGUCUUAACCAUAAACUAUGCCGACUAGGGAUCGGGCGGGGUUCUAUGAUGACCCGCUCGGCACCUUACGAGAAAUCAAAGUUUUUGGGUUCUGGGGGGAGUAUGGUCGCAAGGCUGAAACUUAAAGAAAUUGACGGAAGGGCACCACAAGGCGUGGAGCCUGCGGCUUAAUUUGACCCAACACGGGGAAACUCACCAGGUCCAGACAAAAUAAGGAUUGACAGAUUGAGAGCUCUUUCUUGAUCUUUUGGAUGGUGGUGCAUGGCCGUUCUUAGUUGGUGGAGUGAUUUGUCUGCUUAAUUGCGAUAACGAACGAGACCU